GACUCUGAGUGCAGCAGUGCCCUGCCAGCCCUGGAGCAGCCAUGGCAGAGCAGCAGCUGAAGGAGCUGGGGGAGCUGGUGAUGGACUCAGCCUUCUUCCCAGGACUAGGAGGCUUUUCACAAAAUGCUCACCACGGGGUUAUUACUCUGCUGUUCUGGUUGGAGACAAAUGACUUGCUUAGGGGCACUUGUUAAGAAAUGUUUGAACACAAUGAAGUGCUAAGAGACUGAGAGCUUGUUAAAAUAGCAGAGGGGCAGCUGUUGGAGGCGAGGCAAAGAAGAAAGUAAGGAAUGCAUCUGAAGAAUCCUUCUUUCCAAGGAAGAUUAAAAACACUUCAAUUUGAGGAAAAAAUAAAUGUCCUUUCAGAUCUUCCUCUUACACACUUUAAAAUCAAAUGAGGCAGAAAAUUUGUUUGGCUGCUUCUGUGAGCAUCAGACUUUUAUGUCUGCAGUGGGACACUGGACCUGGUGU